ACCGUUACUGAUUUGUACCACUUUGCAAAACCUAAGUGAAGGUGUCGUAUAGCAGUGUAGCUCGGAAGUCCGAGUGUCGUAUCCACAGAGAGUGGUGUAAAGAAAAUAACAUAGUUAAAAAAGAACAAUUGCGAUUGAGAAGUAGAUUUAAGCAAGAUUUGAUUUAAAGAAAAUUUAAUUGAUUAAAACACUAAGGCAUUGGGGUUCCACUUUUAAAAUAAGCAUGCAUCUCUUAU
rnacentral:lncRNA from 1 species